AACGAACGCUGGCGGCAGGCCUAACACAUGCAAGUCGAACGCUCCGCAAGGGGAGUGGCGCACGGGUGAGUAACACGUGGGAACCUACCUUCUGGUACGGAACAACCAAGGGAAACUUUGGCUAAGACCGUAUACGACCUCCGGGUGAAAGAUUGAUCGCCGGAAGAGGGGCCCGCGUCCGAUUAGGUAGUUGGUGAGGUAACGGCUCACCAAGCCUUCGAUCGGUAGCUGGUCUGAGAGGAUGACCAGCCACACUGGGACUGAGACACGGCCCAGACUCCUACGGGAGGCAGCAGUGGGGAAUCUUGCGCAAUGGGCGAAAGCCUGACGCAGCGACGCCGCGUGAGGGAUGACGGCCUGU
rnacentral:rRNA from 1 species